AUUGAACGCUGGCGGCAGGCUUAACACAUGCAAGUCGAACGCGUGGCGGACGGGUGAGUAAUGUCUGGGCAUCUGGCUUAUGGAGGGGGAUAACGACGGGAAACUGUCGCUAAUACCGCGUACCAUAGGAUUAGCCCCAGUGGGAUUAGGUAGUUGGUGGGGUAAUGGCCUACCAAGCCGACGAUCUCUAGCUGGUCUGAGAGGAGGACCAGCCACACCGGGACUGAGACACGGCCCAGACUCCUACGGGAGGCAGCAGUGGGGAAUAUUGCGCAAUGGGGGCAACCUGACGCAGCCAUGCCGCGUGAAUGAAGAAGGCCUUCGGGUUGUAAAGUUCUUUCGGUGACGAGGCGUUAAUCACAGAAGAAGCACCGGCUAACUCCGUGCCAGCAGCCGCGGUAAUAC
rnacentral:rRNA from 1 species